AUGGAGCUGAAAUGGAUGGAGGAAUUAAACAGCUGGAAUGGCAGAAGUUGGACGAUGAGGUUGUGUUGGCGGAGGCUGAGUGGAGGUCUUCAGACAGAAACAAAAGGUGUUGGGCUGCUAGGGAGUAGGAAGGUUGAGUCUAUGAACGGAGCUACUACAGAGGGUUACCGACAUAAACAGGCGGAGGGAGUGUUAUGA